rnacentral:rRNA from 1 species
AAACGGGUGCGGAACACGUACGCAACCUUCCUUUAACUGGAGAAUAGCCCCUCGAAAGAGGGAUUAAUACUCCGUAACAUCCCGAUGUGGCAUCACAACGGGAUUAUAGCUCCGGCGGUUAAAGAUGGGCGUGCGCCUGAUUAGAUAGUUGGCGGGGUAACGGCCCACCAAGGCAACGAUCAGUAGGGGAUCUGAGAGGAUGAUCCCCCACACUGGUACUGAGACACGGACCAG